UUGAAUUUUAAUGAAGAGUUUGGUUGUAGCUGGCCCAUUCAUUUGGGCAUGUGCACACCUUCCUCUUUCAUCCCACACACACCUGUGAAACCUGUGAGACAGAGAUGGGGAAUUUACUUGCUGCUUUUUGGAAUACAAAGGCAAUAGGUUAUUGGACCCCCCCUCUGUCUACUCAAUUAAUAUAAACUCAAUUUAUUUUAAAACGAAUGUAAUGGAUGUAACACAUCUCAUAC
rnacentral:misc_RNA from 1 species